rnacentral:rRNA from 1 species
AGUGAACGCUGGCGGUAGGCCUAACACAUGCAAGUCGAACGGCAGCACAGGAGAGCUUGCUCUCUGGGUGGCGAGUGGCGGACGGGUGAGGAAUACAUCGGAAUCUACUUUUUCGUGGGGGAUAACGUAGGGAAACUUACGCUAAUACCGCAUACGACCUACGGGUGAAAGCAGGGGAUCUUCGGACCUUGCGCGAUUGAAUGAGCCGAUGUCGGAUUAGCUAGCUGGCGGGGUAAAGGCCCACCAAGGCGACGAACCAUAGCUGGGCUGAGGGGAGGAGCAGGCAACCUGUAACUGACAAACGGUCCGAGCUCCUACGGGAGGCAGCAGGGAGUAAUAUUGGACAAUGCGCGCAAGCCUGAUCCCGCCAUCCAGAGUGGGUGAAGAAGGCCUUCCGGUGGUAAAGCGCUUUUGUUGGGAAAGAAAUCAAGCUGGCUAAUACCCGGUUGGGAUGACGGUACCCAAGGAAUAAGCACCGGCUAACUUCGUGCCAGCCGCCGCCGUAA